rnacentral:rRNA from 1 species
CCUGGAGUUUGGCAGAGGGGGGUGGAAUUCCACGUGUAGCAGUGAAAUGCGUAGAGAUGUGGAGGAACACCAAUGGCGAAGGCAGCCCCCUGGGUCGAUACUGACGCUCAUGCACGAAAGCGUGGGUAGCAAACAGGAUUAGAUACCCUGGUAGUCCACGCCCUAAACGAUGUCAACUAGGUGUUGGGAGGGUAAAACCUUUUAGUGCCGUAGCUAACAAGGCG